UAUUUAUUUAUUUUGAUAAGACAUGCGUAUAUUCAAUAUGUCGAAACAGUCUCAACAAAUAGUAGCGUCUCUAAUAGAAUACUUUGGAAGAUAACGUGAGAAUUGAGGACCUUUACUUCCACUAACUGCUGUUAAAGACAGGGUUGCAGAUCUCUUGAAGUCGAGUAUUACUACUAUAAACCGUAUUGCGACUGAUUCUAAUAGAGAGGUGAAGUAUUCAGCAAUCCAUCGAAACAGUGGUAGACGGGUGAAACCUGUGGUAGAUAUUGAUGAUUUCGAUCAAACUGCUAUUCGAAAUGUGAUCUAUGAUAUGUACAAAAUCGGUAAGUAUUUUGUAUUGAUUUAUUCGAUAUACAAUAUUUGACGACAACAAUAAUUUCAGGAAAACAUAUCAAUUUGCAAACUUUGAAAGAUGAACUGGAAGAACGUGAUCUCUUCAAAUGUUGUGAGACAUAUUUAUAGAAAAUUCUGAAGAAAAUUAGUUUUACAUACAAAAAAGAUGAUCUACGUUAUGGUUUGAUGGAGCUGCCUGGUAUUGCAAUGAAACAUAUACAUUUUCACAUGACUACAUGAAACUUAAGAUUGUAUUCUUGGAUGAAACUUGGGUAUUCAAAGAUGGUACCAUUGGGCGACCCUGGCAAAAUUCAAAUGUGAAGAGUGAUGGUGCAAGAUAUAUUGUGAUUCAUGCUGGAUGCAGAACCGGGUUUAUUAAUAGAGCAGACCUGAUUAUUUGUUCAAAAACGAAGAAUUAUGAUUACCACGGAGAAAUGAACCAACACAGUUUUCUACAUUGGUUUGAAUAACAACUUUUAAUAAAUUUAGAAGAGCCUUCAGUUAUAGUCCUGGAUAAUGCAAGUUAUUACAGCA
rnacentral:lncRNA from 1 species